rnacentral:rRNA from 1 species
GCUUGCUACCUGACCUAGCGGCGGACGGGUGAGUAAUGCUUAGGAAUCUGCCUAUUAGUGGGGGACAACAUUCCGAAAGGAAUGCUAAUACCGCAUACGCCCUACGGGGGAAAGCAGGGGAUCUUCGGACCUUGCGCUAAUAGAUGAGCCUAAGUCAGAUUAGCUAGUUGGUGGGGUAAAGGCCUACCAAGGCGACGAUCUGUAGCGGGUCUGAGAGGAUGAUCCGCCACACUGGGACUGAGACACGGCCCAGACUCCUACGGGAGGCAGCAGUGGGGAAUAUUGGACAAUGGGCGAAAGCCUGAUCCAGCCAUGCCGCGUGUGUGAAGAAGGCCUUUUGGUUGUAAAGCACUUUAAGCGAGGAGGAGGCUACUUNGAUUAAUACUCUAGGAUAGUGGACGUUACUCGCAGAAUAAGCACCGGCUAACUCUGUGCCAGCAGCCGCGGUAAUACAGAGGGUGCGAGCGUUAAUCGGAUUUACUGGGCGUAAAGCGUGCGUAGGCGGCUUUUUAAGUCGGAUGUGAAAUCCCUGAGCUUAACUUAGGAAUUGCAUUCGAUACUGGGAAGCUAGAGUAUGGGAGAGGAUGGUAGAAUUCCAGGUGUAGCGGUGAAAUGCGUAGAGAUCUGGAGGAAUACCGAUGGCGAAGGCAGCCAUCUGGCCUAAUACUGACGCUGAGGUACGAAAGCAUGGGGAGCAAACAGGAUUAGAUACCCUGGUAGUCCAUGCCGUAAACGAUGUCUACUAGCCGUUGGGGCCUUUGAGGCUUUAGUGGCGCAGCUAACGCGAUAAGU